CGGAGCUGCUCCCUGGACCUGCGGGAGGUGCUCUGCGACCGCCCACGCCCCGGCCCGCGGCGCGUCCCGGACGUCCACGCUUGCGUUUCUGCGGAUCGUGGGAAUCCUUCUGCGUGGGUCUGUCUCACACCUUAACUUGAAGUUAGUGAGAUCCGCGGUAUGCGGGUUCCACCGCUGGGGAGUUUUAGAAAUGCUAACCGAGCUCAGGUUUUGAACAUGUCUGGGACUGUGAAUUGGCUGCCAGAAUGAAGUGAGUAACUGCUAUCUAAAGACUGUUAAAAUCUGAUGGGAUAAACAGGUUACAUGAGGACUGAUAAUGGGAAGAGAAAGCCCCGACUGGCAUCACCCUGGGUUCAAGCAGCCAAAGGCAUGAAAAGUUUGACCUUGGCCUUUUAUUUCUUAGAACAGUUUAGGCUAAUCCCUACGGGUAUGCUGCUGCCAAGUUGGUUCUUUUACUGUGCUCAUCAGAAGUGCCAGAAAAAUACCCGCACCCGCCCCCCAUUUAGCCUCUGGAAGAAGAUGUUCUAAAGGGCUCACAAACAUCCAGAUGUAGCUCUUACCAAGCUCCAGCGUCAGAAGGAGUGCCUCAGCGUCUAAGUCCGUAUAUACACACACGGCUUUUCAUGCAUCCUCUGCUGGGGAGGUCACAAUCUGAGGCACCCUUUAAAGCCACUUCUGGGAGAAAAGAAAGAGAAAAAAAAAAAUCAACCACUGAACGUCUAGUGAGCUGUUUCCUAAGGAGGCAUCAACAAACUCCUACCAGCCCCAGUCCUCAGUAACGUCAUGAGAUGGGCUGCUUGUGGUUGUCAAAACUGAUCUUCCCACUGCGGGUGAACACGUACGGCGGAUUGUUAUGGCUUAGGGCGCUUGACUGCACCGCUGUGAAAAUAUUCAGCAGAAUUCCACAAGCUCUUUGUUUGCCUUGCCUUAGUGGAAAUUCCUCCAGCUAUCCAAACACGCACCUGGGGGAGGUGUUUUUUUUUUCCCCCUCCACAUUUCAGGAAGGGGUUUCUUCUAAGUAAAAAUGUGUCCUUACCUCUCUUCUAAGUUCUCAGGCAAGACUUCUGGUUUGAGUUGAAGAUGACUAUGAAUGUGUUCUGGUUGGAAAGGGAGGUGGAGUUGGAGGAGCCGGAGAGGUCUGUAGCAAAUGUUCCUCCAACAGAGCUAAGCUGGGAAAAGGAAAGCCAAUGGAAGCCAACAAAGAAGGAAGCACGAAGCAAGGCUCCCCCAGAUUCCUAGAAGCCCAGGAACACAAAAGCCAGGAAGAUGAAUCGUCUUUUACAGUAGUAGACCUGUAUAUAGGAACGGGGAAGAUUCUAGGGUGAAAGAUCCGGGCUGCCGCUGGUCACCCAGAAGGGAGUAUGUACCUUGAGUUUCGUAACACGGAAUGGAAGUUUGGAGGCCCCUUGAAAAGAACCAAAGCACAAAGGAAGUUGGGCCUGAAGAAGGCUGGGAGACCUCUCACGCAGAGACCCAGGGCUCAGGACAGAGAAAGGAAGGUAGAACGCCAAGUGGAUCUCAUAUUUGCUCUGCGGGCUUCUGGGAAGUGUUUGAAAACAUUCUAUUUAAACUGUGCCUCUUAAGAGAGCUCUCCACUUACAUCUAACUCAGUGUGCUCAUAUUAGCAAAUAGAAAUUAUGGGAACAUUC
rnacentral:lncRNA from 1 species